UACGGAGGGUGCAAGCGUUGUUCGGAAUCAUUGGGCGUAAAGCGCGCGCAGGCGGUCUCUUAAGUCCUGUGUAACAGGCCGGGGCUCAACCCCGGCAGGCAUGGGAAACUGGGGGACUUGAGUGCAGGAGAGGGAAGCGGAAUUCCACGUGUAGCGGUGAAAUGCGUAGAGAUGUGGAGGAACACCAGUGGCGAAGGCGGCUUCCUGGUCUGUAACUGACGCUGAGGCGCGAAAGCGUGGGGAGCAAACAGG
rnacentral:rRNA from 1 species